rnacentral:rRNA from 1 species
GACGAACGCUGGCGGCGUGCCUAAUACAUGCAAGUUGAGCGCUGAAGGUUGGUACUUGUACCAACUGGAUGAGCAGCGAACGGGUGAGUAACGCGUGGGGAAUCUGCCUUUGAGCGGGGGACAACAUUUGGAAACGAAUGCUAAUACCGCAUAAAAACUUUAAACACAAGUUUUAAGUUUGAAAGAUGCAAUUGCAUCACUCAAAGAUGAUCCCGCGUUGUAUUAGCUAGUUGGUGAGGUAAAGGCUCACCAAGGCGAUGAUACAUAGCCGACCUGAGAGGAUGAUCGGCCGCAUUGGGACUGAGACACGGCCCAAACUCCUUCGGGAGGCAGCAGUAGGGAUUCGUCGGCAAUGGACGAAAGUCUGACCGAGCAACGCGGCGUGAGUGAGGAGGGUUUUCGGAUCGUAAAACUCUGUUGGUAGGGAAGAACGUUGGUGAGGGUGGAAAGCUCAUCAAGUGACGGUAACUACCCAGAAAGGGACGGCUAACUACGUG